CAGCAUUUGCAUCAAAGCAAUGUUGCAGAACAUGAGAAUGAAACCAAUUUCACUUAUUUUCUUGUUCACAAUUUCCUUGCACUUUCAUUCACUGCAGAUUCAUGGUUUGCCAAUUGCACCAGCAUUGUAUGUGUUUGGGGAUUCUUUGUUUGACAGUGGUAACAAUAAUUUUUUACCAACUGUUUGUAAGGCAGAUUACUUGCCUUAUGGGGUGAAUUUUGUCAAGGGAGUCACUGGAAGAUUUACCAAUGGCAGAACAGUGGCAGAUUUUAUAGCUGAAUUUCUUGAGCUACCAUAUCCUCCACCAUACAUGAGCAUACGUGGAUCAAACACAGCACUUAAAGGCCUGAAUUAUGCAUCUGGUUCUUGUGGCAUUCUACCCGAAACCGGAAGCCAAUUUGGGAAAUGCUUGAACCUAAAAGACCAGAUAGAUUUGUUUCAAAGAACGGUGAAGUCAGACUUGCCAGGACAGUUCCAAAAUCCCCAUGAUCUUCUGCAGUACCUAUCCAAGUCUAUAUUUCUGUUUUCUAUUGGUAGCAAUGAUUUCAUCAUUAACUACCUUGACACCAAAGCGUUCGAUACAAGCCAACGCUACUCUCCUCAAUAAUUUGCACAACUCUUAAUGGAUGAGCUUGCUAACCAUUUGGAGAGGAUGUACAAUUUGGGAGCCAGGAAAAUAAUCAUGUUUGAAAUUGGUCCCCUUGGAUGCAUCCCAUCAAUUGCAAAGACACAUAACCACAGUGGAAACUGUGUGGAAGAUACAAACGAACUAGCCACAACUUUUAAUGAAAAACUUCGUGAGAUGCUGGCAAAUUUGACAACCACUUUCCAAGGUUCUUUCUUUGUUCUUGGUCGAGCUAAUUCGAUCGGCUAUGAUGCAAUCACAAGUCCUGUUAAAUAUGGGCUAAUGGAUGGAAGCAAUCCAUGCUGCACUACUUGGGCAAAUGGGACUUCAGGGUGCAUUCCAUUGCUUGCACCAUGCUUAGAACCAAACAAUCACUUCUUCUGGGAUGCUUUCCACCUUACUGAAUCUGUGUGCUCAGUUAUAGCUACAGGCUGCUUCAAUGAUUCAACUGUUUGCACCCCCUUAAACAUCAAGCAACUUGUAGAAAUGUAAUUGUAUAACAUAAUCCAUUAUGCAUCAGUCCAUCAGCAAGGUCAAUUUAAAAAAUGGGAUUAGUUUGUCC